rnacentral:rRNA from 1 species
AAUAAAAUGGUUUAAAACUAUUUUAGCUUUCUGAUCCUUUCGUACUAAGAAAGCUUUCAUUUAUAAUAGGAGAUAGAAACCGACCUGGCUUACGCCGGUCUGAACUCAAAUCAUGUAAAGAUUUAAAGGUCGAACAGACCUCCUCUAGUAGCUGCUGCACCACAAAGGUUCUUUAAUUCAACAUCGAGGUCGCAACCCCUCCUUUCGAUAUGAACUCUCAAAGAAGAUUACGCUGUUAUCCCUAAAGUAACUUGAUCUGAUAUCUUCAAAGAAGGAUCUCAAACACAACACAAUAAAAAUAAUUAAUUCUUUACUCAAAGCAGUUACUAAUUAUACCCCUGUCGCCCCAACAAAAUAGUCAAAGUAUUAAAUUUAAGCUUAUAACUACUACAUAAAAAUUAAUAUUUUGACCAUCAAGAUUUAUAGGGUCUUAUCGUCCCCCUAUCUCAUUUAAGCCUUUUCACUUAAACGUUAAUUUCAAAAUUUAUAGCAGAGACAGUCAAUUUCUUGUUCAGCCGUUCAUACCAGUCCCCAAUUAAGGGACAAAUGAUUAUGCUACCUUAGCACGGUCAUGCUACCGCGGCCGUUAAACUUCAAUAUCACUGGGCAGGCUAGACUUUACAUAAAAUUCAUAAAGACAUGUUUUUGAUAAACAGGCAGAAAUCUUUUUUGCCGAGUUCCUUUACUAUAACUUUUCUUUACAAAACAAACAAUAUUCAUUAUUCUAAAUUUACUUUAAUUUAACACACAGAAAACUAUUAUACUAAUAAAAUCAUUGCUACUAGAGUUGUUAAAUUCUAAAUUAAAGUUCUGUAUCUCUUAUGAAGAUUAUAAAAAUAUUUUCUCACAGGAAUCCAUCUUAGUUAAGACACUUUAUCAACAUAGCUACUUCUAGGCUUAGUUAGGAUAUUCUCCUUUCAAAUAAUUUUUCUUACAUAACUAAUUUAACCAGAAGCUUUUCCCUCCGGUUCUAAAGCCAAACUUAUUUUUACGAGCAGUUUAGUCUAAAUUAAAUUUAUUUCCAGAACAACCAGAUAUCAAAAGACUCGACUGGCAUUUCACCACUAAUAAACCUAUUCUAAACCUGUUUCUCACCAGGACAACUAUAAGCUAUUAGCUAUUCUUUUUUCGGGAAGUCCACUGUAAAUGUUACAUUUUGAUUCUCCCUGAUACAAAAGGUACGAAUUUUUACCUCUCCUUUAAACCAAUUAAAUUUUCAUAUUUAUUUCAAAUUUCCCUAACGGUACUUUUAUACUUAAGUCCAGAAAAGCUUUUUCUUGUAUACUAAAACCAACUUCAUUUAAAACUAUUUUUCUUAGAUACAUUUUAUUGACCAAAAGAUAACCACACAAACAUAUUUAUAUU